AAGCCAGAAGGGUCAUGUGGGCCCAGAGUAGGAUCUGUCUAGGCACCUGCUGGCUUGGCCUUCCUCUGUCUCUGUGUCUGAGGCACAUUCAUCCGUCACGACGGGAAAGUUGGGGUCCCUCACUGAACCUGAAGACAGACUGGCAGUCCUAGCAGCAUUCCUGUCUCUGGUCUCCACAGCAACUGGGCUAUAGGUGGUCACGCCUGGGUUUUUACGUGAGUGUUGGGGAUUUGAAUCCAGGUCUUCAUGCAUGGGUACUGUGAUUAUAAGGAUGACAUCACACGGAUGUACAUCACACUCUGAGCACAUAAAGAAGCAACACGCGUGCCACGUGUGAAGAACGAAGCUCUUGGGCAAAUGGCCUUCUGCUUGCCCGCUACAGCUUUGCCAUUGAAGGUGAUUUCUUCUCCACCCCCAGUUUCUUACCUCUUCUCCCAGCCCCCAGUCAACCUUCAACAAAUGUUGAGGGAACACGCCAUUGAAAGUCCAAACCAGUUGAAACAGCAGAGAAAAAAACACAACAGAAUCCGGGCAGAGACAAGGUUGUUGUUCUACUCCUUAAAACUGAGAUUAUGGGGAAAUUAUUAAAACUAUAUUACAAAGCAAAAUCUCAACUUUGUCUAUUUCACAGACUCUAGUGAAAAGAGAAAUCAUUGCUUCAUGUUAAAAUUGGAUGACAAAUAGCUAUGUAGAUAAUAAAUACCCCUUAGAAAUGAUAGCAUUUUAAUUGUCUUAUAGAACAUUAUAGAAUAAAUCCUCACUGAUUUAAAAAAGCUAUAAUAAUUACAACAUUGCAUAGGUCAAGCACGAUAUGAAAUCAGUCUUAUAAGAUUAUUAUUUCCUUUUGAUAGAUGAAAAUAUUGAGACUCAGGGACUGGAGAGAUGGCUCAGUGGUUAAGAGCACUGGCUGCUCUUCCAGAGGUACUGAGUUCAAUUCCCAGCAACCACAUGGUGGCUCACAACCAUCUGCAAUGAG